GAUGAACGCUGGCGGCGUGCCUAAUACAUGCAAGUCGAGCGAACAGAUAAGGAGCUUGCUCCUUUGACGUUAGCGGCGGACGGGUGAGUAACACGUGGAUAACCUACCUAUAAGACUAGGAUAACUUCGGGAAACCGGAGCUAAUACCGGAUAACAUAUUGAACCGCAUGGUUCAAUAGUGAAAGGCGGCUUUGCUGUCACUUAUAGAUGGAUCCGCGCCGUAUUAGCUAGUUGGUAAGGUAACGGCUUACCAAGGCAACGAUACGUAGCCGACCUGAGAGGGUGAUCGGCCACACUGGAACUGAGACACGGUCCAGACUCCUACGGGAGGCAGCAGUAGGGAAUCUUCCGCAAUGGGCGAAAGCCUGACGGAGCAACGCCGCGUGAGUGAUGAAGGUCUUCGGAUCGUAAAACUCUGUUAUCAGGGAAGAACAAAUGUGUAAGUAACUGUGCACACCUUGACGGUACCUGAUCAGAAAGCCACGGCUAACUACGUG
rnacentral:rRNA from 1 species